CAAUAUGAUAUCUGAUGAGUGUGAUGUUGAUGCAAUCUCCUUGUCAAGUGGCUUUCAGUGGACAUUUGGUGAUCCUGAGAACCAAACCAAGGUUGCAAAAGCAGCUCCGAAAAGGGCAGGCAAUUACAAUCAUGAAGAGGACAUCCAAUUGUGCGUGUCAUGGGAAAACAUCCGCACUGAUCCUAUCAUUGGCAAUGAGCAGCCAGGGAGAGCAUAUUGGAAAAGAAUUGCAGAUCAUUAUCAUGCCAACAAGACCUUUGAGUCAGAUAGGAAUGCCAACUCACUUGAGCACCGUUGGAGUACCAUUCAAAAGGAGUGCCAGAAGUUUCAAAGAUACUAUGAUGAGGUCGAGCGUCACCAUCCAAGUGGCAUACCAUACAAGGAGCAUAUCAUUGAAGCACCGACACUAUUUGCAAAGGGGCCACUAAAAAGUCAUUCCAAUUCCUUCACUGUUGGCUCAAGGUGAGGCAUUGUCAGAAAUUCCAAACAAUGGAGAAUAAUAGAAGGUCACAGAGUAACAUGUCUUCCAAUGGAGCUACUGAAAGGGAUGAUGGAGAUGACAGUAGUAGAAGUUAUUCAACAGAACCAAACCCAAACAAGAGGCCACCUGGAAGGAAGCAAGCAAAGGAGAGAUUGAAGAUAGGAGGUGAUGCAGGGCUAUACAAAGAAGCUAUUGCAGAGUUGAUCUUGGACAAGAAGGAGGAGAAGAAGUUGAGGGAGCUUAGGUGGGAUGAGGAGAAAAAAAUGAAGGAGGAUAGGUGGAAGGAGACAAAGAUGAUUCAGCAGCAAAAGAUAAUCAUUGGAAAAAGGCAAACUGAUGUGGGAACAAGAAUAGAAAAUCAUGUUCUGUGAUGUGAGUACCUUGGAUCCAGAUCAGAAGACAUAUGUGUUGACAAUGAGAGCACAAAUUGCAGCACAAAAGAUGGCUGCCUUCAGUGCUGGGUUUGGUGGUGGGUUUAGCAUUUCUAGUGGGGGAACUGGAGGUGAUGCCGAUGGUGCAACCAUUUAAUUUAUGCUUGUAACUCCUCCAGAAGUAGAACAAACCCAUCAGAGAAAUACGAAAUACAUUCAGGUGGUUUCAGUUGAUAACCAUGAGUUUUGGUCCAUGGACUUUGUUUACCACAACAGUGCUGUCAAGAAUCUGCAGGAAGCACUUCAGGAGUCUCAUAGUUUGCGUGCUAGUGAUGCCCAUAGAUUGGUAGUAGCAUGUCAUAUAAACUAUAGUUGUAAUAUAC